GUGGGGCACGAGGAGGUGAGGAGUGGGUACUCGGCCCAGCGUGGGACUUGGCCCCAAGGUGCUCCUGCUGUGCUGGGGACUGGGGAUUUUCCUCGGGAGCGGGCCCCUGACGAGGCUGGAGGCCGGGCAGCGCGGGGAGCUCGAGAACUGUUCUUGUGCUGUACAAAUGAUGUGGAAUGAAGCUAAAUUUCAAACCUGUGAAGGAUUUAGUGGAGCAGAAUUAGAGUUCUCCAGCCAGUCCUCCUGCGUGGAGUCAGGUGCUGAUGUACCUGUAUAGCUGUCUCAGGUGAGACGCCAGUGGCGAAGCAGAGAUGGAUGAAGCUCUAGUGCAAAUGUCAGACAUCCACAAACUGAGUCCCGUCUUGCAUCAGAACAUGCUCACAGCUUACAGCCAUGAGAAGGAAGAAGUGCUCCAGAGACCACCUCCCAGCCAUGAAGCAGCAGCAGAUUUAUGCAUCAAGACUACAGCUAGGUCUUCGGCAGCAUCUCAGUGACAUCAUAUUCUCACAGGUUAACUUGCAGAAUGUCCCCUGAGGAGAAGGGAACCCCUCUGCAGGUGAUUCAUGUGUGCCUUGCUGAGAGCAGGUGAAGGAAGGCCCUCGCUGGGUGAGGCUUAAAAGCAGGGGAUGGAGCAUCAGGAACUCAAAGCCAAACUGUCCUCCUCCUGCAGCCAGGGCCAGAAGCAAUUUCAGCCACACAAGUAUGAAGACAGAGAUGUGAAAUGAGCCAGAGAGGAGGAUCAGCUCGUGAUGACAGAUGAGCAGGCUCAUUCUGAACACUUUCCAGGACAUGGUUAAAUCUGAAUUUCUUAAUUUCCAUGGAAAAGCAUCCAUUGACUUUACACCAGUGCUCCAAGGGGAAGUGCUGCACUGCCCAUCUCACACUUCAGAGAGGGCCUUAUCUGCUUCCUGGGGAGCUGUGACCGGGAAGGAAGCUGCAUGGAUUAGGCUGCAAAUACCUUUUAGGAGUUCUGCUGGUUGUUCACCUACACCCAGCCUGGCCAUGCACUUCUGAGUACAUCCCUAGAUGGACUGCCUUCGAGAGAGCGGAUGCAGUUACUCAGCAGAUCACUUCACAUGAUAUUAGCUCUGUGCUUGUCUGUACUCUUAAAACAUGCGUCAUUGUACACCGUAAUUAUAAGGAGAGCUAACUGGCAAGAAGGAUGAUUGCGUCAUUAAGGGACUGAAAUAGGAAUAACUAAUUCUGCUGUUAACUCUUGAUGUAACCUGGCCAUGACACGGAGGAUCAGUUUUCUCAUCUAAAAGGAAGCAAUUCUCCUAGCUUACCCAUUGUAUUUUCCUGCAUUGAAUAAUAUCUCUGAGUCUACGUAAUAAUUUGAAGGUGCGUGCAGAAGUCGUGUCUACAGCAUGAGAGAUGAGGAUCUAAUCCAGACUGGGAUUUGAACUAAAACUAUAGGUGUCCCACAAUAAGAAUAUUAAUGGCAAUAAUAUUUAUAGUAAAAACAUUUGCAAAAAGUUAGGAAGAUGGAUCAUAAGGAAUAGCUACAAGCAAAGUCUGCAGUAUAUAAUAGAACCUGGUUAAUUCUUUCUAUGUCAAUUUGCAAGCCUGACAUCUCUCACCAAAUAUUCUGGCAAGCUCACAGCAUUUUCAAGAAAAGAUUUAACAGCCAAGUUACAGUUGCUUUUAGUUUAGUCUCAUGUUGCUUUUAGUUUAUUAUUAUUGCAAAAUGCACUACCAAACACUUACUAGUCCAUCAUAAAAUAAAAUGCUGUAGAAUUACAAAUGAAUGCUGCUUGC